GUUUUAGUAUAUAGCACGUUUAUUACAAAAUAAAUUUAACUUGAAAAUGUCAAAAAGAUAAAAUGAUUCGACUAAUAAUUUGUCUUACGGUCUGUCGGAGGUGGUUCUAUUCCGGGAGGUUUGGUGAGGGUCUUGACUCGUCGGCGGUCUAAGAUCUGAGAAAGGAUCCAAAUAUUCCAAUCUCUGAUUUUGUUCUUGUCGUUUGAAUCGCAAAUCACUGGAUCUUGUAUUUCCGGUAUAAUUAGGUCACUCUCUGCGUGGCCGGUUCAGAUCUCUUCCGCCGGAGUUUCAUCGGAAAUUGUUUUCUCCUUUUUGUAACCGUUGAAAGAUUUGUAAGGCCUUAGCCCAGGCCCAAUUGGGGUGAUUUUCGUUUUUCAUCAAUAUAUUAUUAACUAUUAAAAAAAA
rnacentral:lncRNA from 1 species